rnacentral:rRNA from 1 species
GACGAACGCUGGCGGCGUGCUUAACACAUGCAAGUCGAACGGAAAGGCCCUGCUUUUGUGGGGUGCUCGAGUGGCGAACGGGUGAGUAACACGUGAGUAACCUGCCCUUGACUUUGGGAUAACUUCAGGAAACUGGGGCUAAUACCGGAUAGGAGCUCCUGCUGCAUGGUGGGGGUUGGAAAGUUUCGGCGGUUGGGGAUGGACUCGCGGCUUAUCAGCUUGUUGGUGGGGUAGUGGCUUACCAAGGCUUUGACUGGUAGCCGGCCUGAGAGGGUGACCGGCCACAUUGGGACUGAGAUACGGCCCAGACUCCUACGGGAGGCAGCAGUGGGGAAUAUUGCACAAUGGGCGGAAGCCUGAUGCAGCAACGCCGCGUGCGGGAUGACGGCCUUCGGGUUGUAAACCGCUUUCGCCUGUGACGAAGCGUGAGUGACGGUAAUGGGUAAAGAAGCACCGGCUAACUACG